AUUACUAGGCUUACUCACUGAAUAAUCUUCGUCGUUGAUGUACACAUCAAACUUCACGAAAUCAUCUCUAUCUAGCUCUAUUCCUUUUAUCAGCAACACCUCUUCUUCAUCCUCUUUCUCCUUCUUGCUUCUUGAUUUCUUUGGCCUCGGAACUUCUACUCUUAUUACUGAGUUAAGAGGUUUUGGGAAGCCUCCACUGCUGCUGAUCGUCGUCUUUGGGAGUUCCGCCGCUUUCGCUACUCCCGACUUGGAACUUUUGGUGGUCGUCUUCGCUUUGGGCUGCGUACUUUUUUUUAGCCAUGGAAUAGGAAUAUCCUGAUAUUUGUAUCUCAGCUUGAGAUGGUCGAGGCAGUCUCGGACCUUGACGCGAACAAGUUGGGCGUUCUCGUCGUAGAAGACGAACCCGGCGUUUAGCCAAUCUGGGUCCGUGAAUUCCGUUCUAUUUUUACCUCCUAUAGCUUUCCAUAGCGUCCACAUACGGUCGACGUUGGAGUGGUGACCGAAAAAUAUGGGGUCUCUGCCGGCAGUAUAGAAGUUUCCCAUGUCCUCAUGAGGCUCGUCAAAAAGUCCAGUCCAUAUGUGGACUGGACCAUGUGGGACGUUCUCAAUGGUACCCGGUCCGGGGUCAGGCUGAUCGCCAGCACGGUAUGGGGCACCAAAGAAUAGCUUAGCAGUCGUGGCACCCGACACAACUUGCCGGUACAUGAUUGACAGGUUGUUGGCAACUAAUUCCGAAACUGGGAUUGUGGGUUCGGUGAAAUCGUAGUCGAGAUCGAUUACAGUCGGAGGCAGGUGGUUGGCGUUGCGCUUCGCGUCGUAGAGUGUUGAUGUGGAAUCAGCAUAGAUGCCCGGCAUUUGCAUUCCAGGAGGAGGGGAAUCCCAGCUCCAAUAGGGCAAAGCGAAGGUGGGAUCGUUAAUCAGUUUUGCAAGAAUUCUCUCAUGAAAGUAGCAAUAGAAACGGUGGAAAGGGAAGAAAAGCCAUGAAAAAUGAACCUGGAGCUCUAGGUCCGGAAACCCAACCUGAUCAUAAGCCCCAUCGCAAUAGGCGCAAUGGACAUUGGCCUGCUGCAUGAAGCUCCGUGGAUCAUCAUCAGGAAGAGCUUUCAUUAGCUCAAUGGCCUUUUUAUACUUGGCUAUGUACUCUUUGCUGACCAAGUGAGCAGCUGGCCUAAUGCGCAUGGGGGAAUCUGGGGAAGGUAGCUGGAAAUCUAUAAUCUUUGUGGUGGCUGGCGGGCAACAAUUUGUGGGCGUUACACCCUCAGGCACGGUGGCGGCACCACACUUGUUUACAUCCGGUGCCUGGAUGGGAGCCCCAAAGGCUAAUGGCUCAGUGGCGCCGAGGCCGCCAGCGGCACCAUACAGCCCUCCUAUGCCAAGAAGCACAUUCCUCCUAUCUAACUUCCCUGGGGAAGUUUCUCGAAUGUCGGAGGUAGAAUCCGAGUUUGGAUCACCAUUUGUAGAAUUGCACGACACUUUACUAGGAGCAGAUCUGUGGUUUCGAUUUCUGACUCCCCCGAGAAACCCUGUGAAACAAGGGAGAAGGUGACAAGGCCGAAAUGUUGGAGGUGGUGACGGUGGCGGUGGCGGUGGCGGUGGAGGUUGUGAGCUGCCAAGGCAAAGAAGCCAUAGCUUUAGAGGAGUUACGGGUGAUAAGUGAGACCGCUCUAUGGCCUCAGUCUCUGUACAGAAUGAACUGGGGUAGGUAGUACGUAUUCUUACCUUAGGGAUGUCGAGAAAACACUUGCCGUAGAAAAGUAAAUAAAUAAAAAGCUGAAAAGGACAAGGAAAACUGAUUUUCUGCACUGUAUAGGCCCCCCAUGGAAAUCUCCCAUUAUCCAUUUGGAAUCAUCCUAUUCCUUGCUUUAUCUUCAAUAUUGAUAAAUGCUGCUUCUUCAUGGAGUUAACAGCAACGAAAAAUAGUUCCUUAAUUAAUUAUUUGUCGAGAUUAAGAACAGACACUUCGAUUUUCCUCAAACAAAACACCAUGCACGUAUCUCUUUGUUGGAAACUUACACAUUUAGCUUCGCCAUUGAUAACACAAACACCCACUGCCUGCAUCUUCAUUUAUCACGUAACUGCAUAAAUGCUUAUUUAAAUUACAUGAAUAUAUAAUUUUAAUCUCAAAAAAAAAUGCAGCAACUCCCCACAUGAUUUUUUUUUCCCUUUUUUGUUUUUCUCUCUUGAUAUUUAGAGAUAAAGGCAGCUAAGAUUCGCCACGUUAUAUUCCUCUACGAUAGAGAAACCUUUGUCACUCCUCUCACUGGGUCAACAGUAGAUAUCAUCUUUGUGGUCCAUAAACAACGUGACAUUUGGAUUAUUAGUCUGUAUUUUUAUGAGUCUUCCGUGCAUCAAUUUUUUUGGUAUUUUAGAUAAUGGUAGAUUUUGAGGAAGAGAAAGACAACAUGACAUUUAAUUCUUGUUUUAUACUACAAACUUGUGCUAGAUAUUAUAAGAAGGGUUUUGAGUAUGAUCAACCUAAGCGUUUCCUAAUUAAAAAAUAAUUUUCUUUUCCAAAAAUAGAACUUAAAAACCAUUUUUAAAAGUUUAAAACGUGACUAAUUUUAUUAAUUUAAUAAAUAUUUCUGAUAAAAAUUAUUUUUUUAGUUAUUUAAUAUAUUAUCCAAAACACCUAAAUUAUGUACAAUGGAAGUCAUAUAAGUUAAAUGAUCAAAUUAAUGUCAAUACAUAAAAAGGGGUAACAAAUAAAAUAUCAUAACUAAAACUUAAUUUGUUACUUUAUGUUUUAUUUGUAGGACUCAAUCCCAAUAGUUAUAACAAGUAUAAAUUGUUUUCCAUUAUUUUUUUAUUUUAAUAAUCGUGGAUUUCUGAUCCAGUUUAUACACACCUCAACUAAUCCCACGGGGAGCAAACCUAAUACCGGACCAACUGAGCUACCCCUCAAGCCUAUUGUUUUGCAUCAUUUUUACAUCGUAUAAUUAUAUAACAAGUAGUCAUCAAAUGUAUUACAAAUAGUUAUUGAUAUUAAAUCUAAAAAAAAAAGGGUAUUUAAAUUGGCAUUUGCUAUGUAAAUAGCAUAAAAGAAAUUAGGAAAAGUAGGAAGAAGAAAAAUAGUAUACUUCCAAUUAUUGAUUUGAAAAUCUAGCCCAUGAUCUUGGAUAUCCCAUAAUAUAUUUAGCAACUUCUUGAAUCCUCUUAAAGAAACCAAAAACUCUUUUCUAAAUCUAAUAUAUUUGUUUAAUUUUGUUUAAAGAACUUAUAAUUAAAAAAAUAACAUAAAAAUGAGAUAAAUAUUAUUUCUUAUAAAAAAAUAUUUUAAAUUGUACAAAAAGUUGUUUGAUUUUUUAUGAAUUAUUUAUAACCCCCCAUAUUAUCUUAUAAAAGUUGUAAAUUUAACUUCAAUUUCCACUUCAAUCUAAAGCAAAUAAAAGGCGCAGGAAACUAACACCAAUUAAAAACCCCUUAAAUUUAAACCAAACAGCUCUAAAUUAAUAAAAGACUUGACGGGAGAGUACAGAGAAGUCUCACAUUUUCCAUUAGUCACAUAAAGAUGUGACUUACCUGAUACAUACAUAUAAUGGAUAAUCAUUGAAAGGUGGGAUCAAUCGGAAACAAACUCGAUCUCAAUUCCACCAAUGGUGACAUCAUCGCCCCCAGCACGAGGGACUAUAGUCACGAUCACACUCUCAUCAUCUUCGGCUCCCAAGUCCUCUAACAGCUCAUUUAUCGCCAACCUCAGAUUGGUCUUCGUCUUCAUUUCUUUCAUAUGCUUGUGUGGUACGUUCACAAAGCUUCCUGCAAACUCACUAUUCUUAGGCCUACUCACUGAAUAAUCUUCGUCGUUGAUGUACACAUCAAACUUCACGAAAUUCUCUCUAUCUAGCUCUAUUCCUUUUAUCAGUAACACCUCUUCCUCGUCCUCUUUCUCCUUCUUGCUUCUUGAUUUCUUUGGCCUUGGAACUUCUACUCUUAUCACUGAGUUAAGAGCUUUUGGGAAGUCUCCGAUGCUGCUGAUCGUCGUCUUUGGGAGUUCGGCCGCUUUCGCUACUCCCGACUUGGAACUUUUGGUGGUCGUCUUCGCUUUGGCCUUCGUAUUUUUUGGUAGCCAUGGGAUUGAAUAUCCUGAUAUUGGUAUCUCAGCUUGGAAGUGUCGACACAGUCCGAGACCUUGACUUUAAC
rnacentral:lncRNA from 1 species